rnacentral:rRNA from 1 species
AGAUUGAACGCUGGCGGCAUGCCUUACACAUGCAAGUCGAACGGCAGCACGGGGGCAACCCUGGUGGCGAGUGGCGAACGGGUGAGUAAUGCAUCGGAACGUGCCCAGUAGUGGGGGAUAACUAGUCGAAAGAUUAGCUAAUACCGCAUACGACCUUUGGGUGAAAGCGGGGGAUUCGCAAGAACCUCGCGCUAUCGGAGCGGCCGAUGUCUGAUUAGCUAGUUGGCGGGGUAAAGGCCCACCAAGGCUUCGAUCAGUAGCUGGUCUGAGAGGACGACCAGCCACACUGGGACUGAGACACGGCCCAGACUCCUACGGGAGGCAGCAGUGGGGAAUUUUGGACAAGUGGGCGCAAGCCUGACUCCAGCCAUGCCGCGUGCGGGAAGAAGGCCGUUCGGGUUACGUAACCGCUUUUGGCGAGGAACGAAACGGCGCGAGCGAAUAUC